AAGGGCACCACAAGAACGCGUGGAGCAUGUGGCUUAAUUUGACUCAACGCGGGAAAUCUUACCGGGUCCGGACACACUGAGGAUUGACAGGCAAUAUUAAUACUUUGCUUCGGCAUUGUAUUAUGUUAAAUAUGCUAGUCCUUUCAUGGUUAUGUGAUAGGUGGUGCAUGGCCGUUCUUAGUUCGUGGAGUGAUCUGUCUGCUUAAUUGCGUUUCACUAAGGGCCUAUAAAUUUACGUAUGUUGUAUCGCACUUUGACCCCUUUCUUUAAUUAGAAAGCGCGUGUCUUAGUUUCGCUUUGCUCAUACAAUUAGGUCCUGAAAGCAACGAACGUGACCGCAACCUCUUGUUGCCUUUAUACCAAACAUGUUUAUUCAUUUUUUAAUGUUCAUUCAUGAAAAAAGGCUUUUUAAACUAGAGGGACCGCUGUUACUUUCUUAAACCAGAGGAAGGUUGCGGCAAUAACAGGUCUGUGAUGCCCUUAGAUGUUCCGGGCUGCACACGUGCUACAAUGAUUAUUGCAGUGAGCAUCUCAUUUUUACACACCGCAUGCGCGAGUCCAUUUAUUCACCUUCGGGUGUUUUAAAUGUGUACCUCUGCGCGCGGUAAAGCCUGCUUCGAAAGUAAGUGGGUAAUCAAUUAGAAGUAAUGAUUUCCUUUUUUAGCACACAUAUAUACGGCGUCUAUGCCCGGGUUACCUUGUUGUAGCUUUUGUGUGUAUAGAUGUUUUUUCCGUAUGUGCGAUUGUCAAUUCAUGGUGGGGACAGACCAUUGUUAAUUGUUGGUCUCGGUCUUAACUAGGAAUGCCUUGUACGGGUCUUUGGUUCAACAAACCACCCGGAAUACGUCCCUGCCCUUUGUACGCACCGCCCGUCGCUCUUACCGAUGGACUUCUCUGUGAGUUUGAGGGACUGGGAACGCAGGAAUUUAUUUCUGCACACCU
rnacentral:rRNA from 1 species